rnacentral:rRNA from 1 species
AUUGAACGCUGGCGGCAUGCCUUACACAUGCAAGUCGAACGGCAGCACGGGAGCAAUCCUGGUGGCGAGUGGCGAACGGGUGAGUAAAGCAUCGGAACGUGCCCAGUCGUGGGGGAUAACGUAGCGAAAGCUACGCUAAUACCGCAUACGAUCUGUGGAUGAAAGCGGGGGACCGUAAGGCCUCGCGCGAUUGGAGCGGCCGAUGUCAGAUUAGGUAGUUGGUGAGGUAAAGGCUCACCAAGCCGACGAUCUGUAGCUGGUCUGAGAGGACGACCAGCCACACUGGGACUGAGACACGGCCCAGACUCCUACGGGAGGCAGCAGUGGGGAAUUUUGGACAAUGGGCACAAGCCUGAUCCAGCAAUGCCGCGUGCAGGAUGAAGGCCUUCGGGUUGUAAACUGCUUUUGUACGGAGCGAAACGGCUUCCACUAAUACUGGGGGCUAAUGACGGUACCGUAAGAAUAAGCACCGGCUAACUACGUGCCAGCCGCCGCCGUAAGAC